GGGUUGUGAGGUUAAGCGAAUAAGCGUACACGGUGGAUGCCUAGGCAAUCAGAGGCGAUGAAGGACGUGCUAAUCUGCGAAAAGCGUCGGUAAGGUGAUAUGAACCGUUAUACCCGACGAUAUCCGAAUGGGGAAACCCAGUAUCCAAUGGAUACUAUCAUUAACUGAAUUCAUAGGUUAAUGAGGCGAACCGGGAGAACUGAAACAUCUCAGUACCCCGAGGAAAAGAAAUCAACCGAGAUUCCCCUA
rnacentral:rRNA from 1 species